UUUCUAAUUACUCUAAAUUUUUUGUUUGCUUAUUUUGACCAACGGGCAAAUGUUUCUAUGGAUUUAGAGUCAUUUCAUCUAUUCAUUGAAUGAGUGAUCAAAAUGUUUUUACUCAGAUAACCCUUGGGCUUAGCUUGGGGACUUUAUUCAAUCAUCGUGGUUCUAGUAUGAAUCUUAGAUUUCAUUUGAAUCAUAGUGUCUCAACAAGCGAGUUCCUAGCAAUUAGAAAUAAAAACAAAAUCCACAUUAUACAAAAAAUUAUAAUUUUGAGAUCGAGAAAAUUCAAGAAGCCCAUAAUGAUUAACAUAAAAAUGAAGAAAUGAGCCGACUUGAUAUUUUGGCAUUCAUCAUCAUCAUCAUCAUCAUCAUCAUCAAAGCCCAUUUCCGAGAUUUUUGGGGUCGGCAUUGUCAAUUCUAAAUAAGAGCUUCGGUUUUAUUUUGCACUUCGUCGUAUUUUCAGAGAAGGUUGGAUGGAAUACUAAGAAGAAGUUUCAAAUUUCCUAUUACAUAUCCGUUGCAACCAGUAUUGGGGUGUUUUUGCUUGAGUUGUACGAGAUGAAAGUCUCAUAUAUGGUUCUCAGAGGGAAGAGUUCCCUUGGUUUACCUAUCUCAAUAAAGUAUAUGAUUGGUUCGAAGAGCGUCUCGAAAUUCAGGCGAUUGCAGAUGAUAUAACUAGUAAAUAUGUUCCUCCACAUGUCAACAUAUUUUAUUGUCUAGGAGGAAUUACGCUUACUUGUUUUUUAGUACAAGUAGCUACGGGGUUUUCCAUGACUUUUUACUAUCGUCCAACCAUUACCGAGGCUUUUACCUCGGUUCAAUACAUAAUGACUGAAGCUAACUUUGGUUGGUUAUUCUGAUCAGUUCAUUGAUGGUCAGUAGGUGAGUCAGAGCCUAAGAUUAGGCCGAAAGGCGUAGUCGAUGGACAACAGGUGAAUAUUCCUGUACUACCCCUUGUUGGUCCCAAGGGACGAAGGAGGCUAGGUUAGCCAAAAAAUGGUUAUCAGUUCAGGGACGCAAGGUGACCCUGCUUUUUCAGGAUAAGAAAGGGUUGAGAAAAUGCCUCGAGCCAAUGUUCGAGUACCAGGCGCUAUGGCGCUGAAGUAACCUGUGAUAACCCGAUCCGCACAGUAAGAUAUUGUCCACUCUAUGGCGCUGAAGUAACCUAUUACUAUGAUGAUCCAACCUCGCACAUAAGUAGCACAUCCCCCUCCUGCACCCAGGCGAUGUGGGACUGUCUCCCUUUGUAGCUCGUCCAACCCCUUUUGAGCCUGUUAGGCCUAUUGGGCUCCAACCCUAACCCUGAAGUCCGCCCACUCCAGGGUCUCACAAUCCACCCCCCUUAGAGCCCAACAUCCACGUUGGCACACUUCCAGCUGAGUUAGGCUCUGAUACCAUUCUAUAACGAUCUGAUCCACACAGUAAGAAAUUGUCUGCUUUGGACCCAAUCGGCCCGCACGGCUUUAAAACGCAUCUUACUAUAUGGAUACAACCUCGUACAUAAGUAACACAUCCCCCUCUCGCACCCAGGCGAUGUGGGACUACGCCCCCCUUUGUAGCUCGUCCAACCCCUCUUGGGCCUCUUCGGCUCCAGCCCUCACCCUCACCCUCACCCUCAGGUCCGCCCAUUCUAGGGUCUCGCAUAACCCAUGCCAUACUCCAAGGAAAAGCUAGAACGACCUUCAAUAAAGGGGUACUUAUACCCGAAACAGACACAAACGGGUAGGUAGAAAAUACCUAAGGGCGCGAGACAACUUUCUCUAAGGAACUCAGCAAAAUAGCCCCGGGCGAAUGUUUACCAAAACCACAGGUUUCCGCAAAGUCAUAAGACCGUGUAUGGGGGUUGAUGCCUGCCCAAUGCCGGAAGGUCAAGGAAGUUGGUGACUUGAUGACAGGAGAGCCGAUGACAGAAGCCCCAGUGAAUGAUGACCGUAAUUAUAACGGUCCUAAGGUAGUGAAAUUCCUUUUCGGGUAAGUUUCGACGUACACGAAAGGCGUAAGGAUCUGUGCACUGUCUUGGAAAGAGGCACGGUGAAAUAGACAUGUUUGUGAAAAUGCAGACUACCUGCACCUGGACAGAAAAACCCUAUGAAGCUUUACUAUUCCCUGAGAUCGGCUUUGGGCCUUUCCUGCACAACUUAUGUGGGGGCGAAGAAGGCCCCCUUUCGAGGGGGGGGGGAGGGGAGGCGAGCCAUCAGUGAGAUACCACUCUGGAAGAGCUAGAAUUCUAACCUCGUGUCAGGACCUACGGGCCAAGGGACAUUUUCACUUAGAUAGUUUUUAUGGGGCGUAGGCCUCCCAAAAGGUAGCGGAGGCAUGCAAAGGUUUCCUCGGGGCAGACGAAGAUUGGCCCUCGAGUGCAAUGGCAGAAGAAAGCUUGAUUGCAAAACCCACCCGUCGAGUAAAGAUGAAAGCCAGCCUUAGUGAUCCGAUGGUGUAGAGUGGAAGGGUCAUCGCUCAACGGAUAAAAGUUACUCUAGGGAUAACAGGUUGAUAUUCCCAAAGAGUUCACAUCGACGAGAAGGUUUGGCACCUCAAUGUCGGCUCUUCGCCACCUGGGGCUGUAGUAUGUUCCCAGGGUUGGGUUGUUCGCCCAUUAAAGCGGUACGUGAGCUGGGUUCAGAACGUCGUGAGAUAGUUCGAUCCAUAUCUGGUGUGGGCGUUAGAUCAUUGAUAUGACCUUUUCCUAGUACGAGAGGAUCGGGAAGGACGCACCUCUGGUGUACUGUUAUCGUGCCCACGGUAAACGCUGGGUAGCCAAGUGCGGAGCGGAUAACUGCUGAAAGCAUAUAAGUUGUAAGCCUGCCCCAAGAUGAGUGCUUUCCUAUUCUGACUUCCCCAGAGCCUCCGCUAGCACAGUCGGGACAACGACGGGUUCUCUGCCCCUGCGAGGAUGGAGCGACAUGAGUUUUGAGAAUCCAAGAGAAGGUCACGACGAGAUGAGCCGUUUAUUAUUACGAUAGGUGUCAAAUGGAAGUGCAAUGAUGUAUGUAACUGAGGCAUGCUAACAGACCGCCAGACUUGAAC
rnacentral:rRNA from 1 species